rnacentral:lncRNA from 1 species
AUGGAAGCUAUGAAGCCCAGUUGUGCUCAGAACCCAAGUUGUAGCAUAAUGAUAUUUCAUCCAACCAAAGAAGAAUUUACUGAUUUUGAUAAAUACAUUGCUUACAUAGAAUCGCAAGGGGCCCACCGAGCAGGUUUGGCUAAGAUAGUUCCACCCAAGGAAUGGAAAGCCAGACAGACCUACGAGGAUAUCGAUGACAUCCUAAUAGCCGCUCCGCUCCAGCAGGUGGUCUCUGGGCGGGCAGGUGUGUUUACUCAAUACCACAAAAAGAAGAAGGCCAUGACCGUGGCACAGUACCGCCGCUUAGCAAACACGGAAAAAUACCAGACUCCAUCACACUUAGAUUUUGAAGAACUGGAGCGAAAAUAUUGGAAAACCCGCCUCUAUGACUCCCCAAUAUACGGCGCGGACAUCAGUGGCUCUUUAUUUGAUGAAAACACGAAGCAGUGGAACCUGGGACACCUGGGGACCAUCCAGGACCUGCUGGAGCAGGAGUGCGGGGUGGUCAUCGAGGGCGUCAACACCCCCUACCUGUACUUCGGCAUGUGGAAGACCGCCUUCGCCUGGCACACGGAGGACAUGGACCUUUACAGCAUCAACUUCCUGCACUUCGGGGAGCCCAAGACGUGGUACGCGGUGCCGCCCGAGCACGGCCGGCGCCUGGAACGCCUGGCCGGCGCGCUCUUCCCGGGCAGCUCGCGGGGCUGCGAGGCCUUCCUGCGCCACAAGGCGGCGCUCAUCUCACCCAGGGUGCUCCGGGACAACGGCAUCCCCUUCGGUCGGGUCACGCAGGAGGCGGGCGAGUUCAUGGUGACCUUCCCCUACGGCUACCACUCGGGCUUCAACCACGGCUUCAACUGCGCCGAGGCCAUCAAUUUCGCCACCGCGCGCUGGAUCGAUUACGGCAAAGCGGCCUCGCAGUGCAGCUGCGGCGAGGCGCAGGUGGCCUUCUCCAUGGACGCCUUCGUGCGCAUCCUGCAGCCCGAGCGCUAUGAGCUGUGGAAGCGCGGGCAGGACCGGGCGGUGGUGAACCACGCCGAGCCCGCGGCGCCGGGCGGCCGGGAGCUGAGCGCCUGGAAGGAGGUGCAAACGCUGGGCCCCAAGUACUUCCCGCCUCGCCGCACCGCCCGCCUGCGUCAUCCCGUGUCCUCAAGCGAGGGCACCGACCCCAGAGCCCCUGUGCGGGCCAUGUCCCUGCGCCCCUUGCCUGCCCGGGGUUCCUGCUCGGCCUCCCAGUCUGACGCUGUCGCCGGCAGCAGCUCACGGAAGCCCAGCCAGACCCCUCCGCUGUCACCAGGUCCGUCGGUGGCGUCGUGUCUCCACCCAGUUGGCAGAUGUGGUUCUCGUCGUCGCCCUCGGGAAAAGGGCACUCAAGAGCCGACUGCCCCCGUCGGAGCUAAGAGGGGCCUCGCCUUAGACCGCAAGCCUCAAGACCCCAAGGCUGAACCGCUGUCUGCAGAGGGACGGAUGGACAACCCUGCCCCAUCGAAUCCUGGACUCUAG